AAUAGAUACCCAGGUAGUCCACGCCGUAAACGAUGAGUGCUAGGUGUUGGGGGGGUCCACCCCUCGGUGCCGAAGUUAACACAUUAAGCACUCCGCCUGGGGAGUACGGUCGCAAGACUGAAACUCAAAGGAAUUGACGGGGACCCGCACAAGCAGUGGAGUAUGUGGUUUAAUUCGAAGCAACGCGAAGAACCUUACCAGGUCUUGACAUCCCUCUGAAUCGUCUAGAGAUAGGCGCGGCCUUCGGGACAGAGGAGACAGGUGGUGCAUGGUUGUCGUCAGCUCGUGUCGUGAGAUGUUGGGUUAAGUCCCGCAACGAGCGCAACCCUUGAUUUUAGUUGCCAGCACUUCGGGUGGGCACUCUAAGGUGACUGCCGGUGACAAAUCGGAGGAAGGUGGGGAUGACGUCAAAUCAUCAUGCCCCUUAUGACCUGGGCUACACACGUACUACAAUGGCCGGUACAACGGGCAGCGAAGGAGCGAUCCGGAGCCAAUCCUCUAAAGCCGGUCUCAGUUCGGAUUGCAGG
rnacentral:rRNA from 1 species